GUGGAAGAAUGAUACCUUAGACACCCGAUGGGGUGACGUUGCUGAUAUUUUCUCAAUUUUCGGUACCCAUGGUGGCAUAAAAAUUUUCGAUUUCAACCCACAUCGCAUCCAGAUUGAAUAUCCAUCCAGUAAAUUUGUAUCAAGAUGAGAGACUACUCCACGUGUGAUGUUCGAUCUAUGUGAUUGGACGCGGAACGAUCUAUAUCAAAGUACGAAUGUCUGGAUCAGGAAGUAAUAAUAACAACGAUCUGAAGAAAAUGAAAUUAUUGAUGCCCGAUCUUCGAUCGUCGUAAAUGGAUCUAUAAGAAAAUUCGGCAGCCGUAAGGAAACAUAAAGGUCAUCUUCCAUCGACGUAACGCCUCUGCUCGACAUUUUUCAACUUUUAGUUUCUCCCCGCACGCCACU